GACGAACGCUGGCGGCGUGCUUAACACAUGCAAGUCGAACGGAAAGGCCCUGCUUUUGUGGGGUGCUCGAGUGGCGAACGGGUGAGUAACACGUGAGUAACCUGCCCUUGACUUUGGGAUAACUUCAGGAAACUGGGGCUAAUACCGGAUAGGAGCUCCUGCUGCAUGGUGGGGGUUGGAAAGUUUCGGCGGUUGGGGAUGGACUCGCGGCUUAUCAGCUUGUUGGUGGGGUAGUGGCUUACCAAGGCUUUGACGGGUAGCCCGCCUGAGAGGGUGACCGGCGACAUUGGGACUGAGAUACGGCCCAGACUGCUACGGGAGGCAGCAGGGGGGAAUAUUGCACAAUGGGCGGAAGCCUGAUGCAGCAACGCCGCGUGCGGGAUGACGGCCUUCGGGUUGUAAACCGCUUUCGCCGGUGACGAAGCGUGAGUGACGGUAAUGGGUAAAGAAGCACCGGCUAACUACGUG
rnacentral:rRNA from 1 species